rnacentral:rRNA from 1 species
ACCUAACAGCUAGCCCCACCCGCUAAACCAACUACCCACCAUAAAUAACUUCUAAAACCCUCAACCCGCCCAAUAAAUCAUUCUUCCCCCUCAGUACGGGAGACAGAAAGGGACAAAUUAGGGAGCGACAGAUCAAGUACCGCAAGGGAAAGCUGAAAAAGAAAUGAAACAACCCUCUAAAGCCUUAAGAAGCAGAGCUCAGCCCUCGUCCUUUUGCAUCAUGAUUAAGCCAGUACCCUAAAGCAAAGAGCCCUUUAGUUUUUUACCCCGAAACUAGACGAGCUACUCCGAGUCAGCCUAUCAUAGGGCCAACCCGUCUCUGUGGCAAAAGAGUGGGAAGAACUCUGAGUAGAGGUGACAAACCUACCGAGCCUAGUUAUAGCUGGUUGCCUAGGAAAUGAAUAGAAGUUCAGCCGCCCGGCGCUUCCUCCCCCGAACCUCAAGUCACACUUUAGGCCCGAGGAAAUCCGAGCGAGUUAGUCAAAGAAGGUUCAGCUUCUUUGAACAAAGACACAACUUUAAGAGGAGGUUAAAGAUCACAACAGAUUAAAGGACAAUUAUUCCAGUGGGCCUGAAAGCAGCCACCUGAGCAGAAAGCGUUAAAGCUCGCAUAAACUUAUCCCCUCCAAUUCCGACGGACCCUCUUACCCCCCUCCAAGAUUACUAGGUCGUUUCAUGCCCCCAUGAAAGAGACCAUGCUUGAAUGAGUAAUAAGAGGGUACGACCCUCUCCUCGCACAUGUGUACGUCGGAACGGACCCCCCACCGACCAUUAACGGCCCCAACCCAAGAGGGCACUGUCACCCCGACCAAAGUCCGCUAGAAAACCACCCACCAGAAACAACCGUUAACCCCACACAGGAGUGCCCCCUAAGGAAAGACCCAAGGACAAGGAAGGAACUCGGCAAACACCUUAAGUCUCGCCUGUUUACCAAAAACAUCGCCUCUUGCGAGCAAAGAAUAAGAGGUCCCGCCUGCCCUGUGACUCUCGCAGUUUAACGGCCGCGGUAUUUUGACCGUGCAAAGGUAGCGCAAUCACUUGUCCUUUAAAUGAGGACCUGUAUGAAAGGCAUAACGAGGACUUAGCUGUCUCCCCUGUCCAGUCAAUGAAAUUGAUCUCCCCGUGCAGAAGCGGGGAUCGCACCAUAAGACGAGAAGACCCUAUGGAGCUUUAGACGACAAACGGCCCACGCAAGGCAACUCAGUACCAACUUAGCCAACCCCCCCCCGUGGAACCCACCGUUUUCAUGUCUUUGGUUGGGGCGACCGUGGGGAAAAGAAAAACCCCCAUGUGGACCGAGGACCCCCUCCCCAAAGCCGAGAGCCACAGCUCUAAGCCUCAGAACCUCUGACCCGAACGAUCCGGCCUACCCGCCGAUUAACGAACCGAGUUACCCUAGGGAUAACAGCGCAAUCUUCUCCCAGAGCCCCUAUCGACGAGAAGGUUUACGACCUCGAUGUUGGAUCAGGACAUCCUAAUGGUGCAGCCGCUAUUAAGGGUUCGUUUGUUCAACGAUUAAAGUCCUACGUGAUCUGAGUUCAGACCGGAGCAAUCCAGGUCAGUUUCUAUCUAUGACUAUGACCUUUUCCAGUACGAAAGGACCGAAAAGCGGGGGCCAAUGCCAGAAGCAAGCCCCACCUUCACCUAAGGAAGACAACUGAACUAGGCAAGAAGGCAGGACCCCCCAGCGGGCCCGCCAAAGAAAGCGGAAU